GGAAGAAGGUGUGUCCUGGUUUGUUGCUUUGCUGUUUGCCGCAGCUUUGAAUGGCGGUCCAGCCAUGCCACCCUGCCUUGGAGCCAACUGAGUAUGGACUAAAAUCUCCAAGAACAGCUUGUGAUGUGAUUUAGUGAGGAGAAUGGAGAAGAGAUGCCAUGCCCAUCCUGAAUGUACAUCUCAAAAUCUUCUGUGCUUCAUUUGGUCUCUUUGCCACUACUAUGGGAAUGAGUCUGGAUUAUAAUUUUGUAAAAUAUGGAACAAAAAGGAACCAUCUCAGCUGACAGAAUCCUCGAUAAGCCACUUCCCAGCCAAUUCAACAGCUACCUGCGAAGACAGGAUGGAAGGGAAAAGAGCUUGCAAGAAUUUUGAAGCACAUUCCUCAACUGCUGUGAAGUCAAUGCUACCAAUUCUGGCGUAUAUCUAAUACUUGUCAAAAAACAGGGAUAGCACUGUCCAUAGGUGAUGGGUACUUUCAGGCAGGAGUAGCUACUGUAAGCUAAGUUCCUCUAAAUGCAGUAGUGGAGAAGAACUCAAGACUCUGCGUGGCAAGAUACUUGCUUUGCGAGCCAGUUGUGUCUUGGUUCCCAUGAGACAGUUGAGACAACGUUCCCAAGGCUUCAAAGAGGAGCAGUGUGCAGAAAGCCUCUGUCCCCAGCGCUGUGGGAAAUCCUCCGCUGUCAGUCCCCCCUGCUCUGUCCAGUGUUCUGCGUUCUACACAAGCAAUUCUCAGCACAAUGCCGCCAGAAUAAAGGAGCCAGUGAAACGGGCUGCCAAGGUUCUGCUGUCCACACCCAACUGCUGCUUCUGAGCUCCACCGUUCACAGACUGCUUUAGCUCUUGCUCAAAGAAAAGAAAAGAGAAGUAAAACCCAAGCUUACAGCAGUGGUGAGACUGUCCCGAGGGAGUCCUCAGAGACUGUGCUGAGCCAUAACCUGUUCUGACAAGACCAUCGGCUUCCAGGGCAGAGAUGACCUCGUUGUAAAAAGUUGAAAGAACAGCAUUGAACCAGCUUUAUUUGGAGGAACUUACCUGGCACAAUCACAUAUAAACAUACAUUUACAUUUUUAGUCCCUUUAUCAUUAUUAAUCAAAAACAUUACUGCUUCUGUUGAGCUGGACCUCCAUCUAAUUGACACAGGUUUGCAUGACAGGAAUAUUUCCCUCAACUGUUACAAAUUCUACAGUUGCUGACAAUUCAAUUCUGAAAUGAGUCAUGGCUCAGCAGUGGCAGGUUGUUUUUAAAGCUAAUCUGUAGGGAUAUGAAAAAAUCCAGGGGAUCUCAAGGUUGUGGACCUGCUGCUGUUUUGCAAAUGCUACAGGGUUGGCCCUCUGAUCCCUUGGCCUCUUCAUUUUCAGGCUGAAACAACCAGCAGCAGAUGGAAAAUAAAAAUUGUAUCGGUAUUGAA